GUUAAUUAAAACUAUUACUUUUCAAAAGUAAAAUUUCUUUAUGACAUUAGAU
rnacentral:tRNA from 1 species